CAAAUCCAUCAGUCAAACUCCUCCCGCCGUGGUCCGCCUUUUUCGACCUUCUUCCUCACUUUCGACUCCGGCGACCCAUACCACAUCUUCUAUAUUCGUCGUCACCAUUUCUUCCUCACAACACAACCUCGUCACUUCUCCAUCACCGACAAACACAAUCCCUCCUCUUUCAAUCCCUUCCACCUUCAAAACCCUUCACCAAAAUCUCUUUACAACCAUCAACGCCACCGUCAACAUUCAUAAGC
rnacentral:lncRNA from 1 species